CUUAGAACUGGGGUUCUUAGAAGUGGUGAUGCAAGAAGUUUCUAGGAAAGGCCGGACACCAGGUGAUUAUUGCUGUUGCUGCCGCCGCUGCUGCUGCUGCCGCCGCCGCCGCUGUUGCCGCUGGUGCCGCUGCCGCCGCCGCUGCUCAUGAUCAUUAUUUUACCUUUUAAUUCUUUUUUUUCCGCUCUUGCCAAAUGCUUUGGCUCCAAGUUUCCUGUGUGCAUCUAUUGAUGUAUAUGUAUAUAUUUAUUUAUUGUAGCUGUCAGGUGUUAAAAUAAAUGCCGAAGAUUAGUCCCACGUCUCUCCCACUCUAGGAUAUAGAUUUUUAUAUAUUUAUUAUUUUUUUCUUGUUGUCUUUGAGUGAAUCGGCCGGUUUGGGGAGGCUUUUGCCACCCUCCCUUGUGUUGUUUUGGUUUUUGAAGAGGAGGUGGAGGAGAGGAAGGAGGGGAAUUAGGGGGCGGCCGAAGCAGAGAGGACGAGACAGUGCUUAGGGGGUGAUUCGGGCAAGUCUGGGGGCUGUCUGGCCCCAGACCGCGGAGAGGACGCGCUCUCGCGCUCUCGCUCUUUCUGCUGCUGCUUGCGUACGGCUUUUGAUCUUGCUGGAUUCGUGCGGCUGUGUUUUUUCCCUCUUUUCUCGCUUGCGAACUGCCUUUCUUGCUCCCUCGCUCUAGCCUCCCCUUCCCUCCCUCCCUCCCUCCUCCUUUCCCUCACCUCUCCUUCCUUCCCCUCUCCCGUCCUUCUUGGUAACUCUGGGAGGCGAGGAGGGAGGCUGCCCGCUCGCUCGCCCCGCUGGCUCCCUUCCAUCGGCCUCGGUCCUCUAGAUUCCCUAUCUCCGAGCCGAGAUUUGGGAGGAAAAAUGCAAGCGAACUCCUUGGGCUUCCCCCCCUCCCCCUUAAACCCAGAUGAAGUAUUGGUUCUACUAUUUCCUUUCAGAGCCGUGGUCUUCCUAAUGAGAUCUGAAUGUUUUGGUGUCCCCUUCCCUGUGUUUUUGGGGGAGGUUUAGCUUGCCUGGGGGCGGGGAUGUUGAAUACUUUGAAAAUUAUUCUUUCUUGGUUGUAGUCUAGGGAGUCGGGAACCCCCGCGCGCUCUCUCUCCCCAUCCUGGGGAGCGAGACUUGUGGCGGGAUGGGGAUUUUGGGGGUGGGCGGAAAAGGAUGCGCUUUUGCACCUGCGGUGCUGUUCUGCGUGCGGGGACUCCGGGAAUCUUCACAGGCCCGCCCAGCCCAGCGGGAAGGUGGCGGGAUUUCUGGCGGUCGCGGUGUUUGUAUUUUGGGCUCUGCGUGACUCGGUGUUAGCUCCCAAUGGCUGUUCCCUCGCUUUCCUAAAUUUUAUUUUUCCCAUGGUGCAAGCUUUGUACAAACAAACAAACAAAAAGCUGCGGGUCAGAAAGUAGCCGGCGUCAGGCUUCAGAUUGUCGAGGUCCUUGCACUGGGCAAGGGGAAAAACAAACUGCCCCAGCCCGUGUUCCUACGUGCAGGACCCGGGAGGAGAGAAGGGCACUUUGUGGCCCUGGCUGGGGGAAUCCGGCGCGGAAGGAGGGGGCGCGGGCGCGAAUGGGAGAUCUUUGUGAGUGAUUUUGCAAAAAAAAACGGAUUGUGAGGUUGGUUGGAUUUGCAACCUGUGGCUCUCCUCGAGGGAGUAAGAAUGGGGGAAGGCGGCGGCGGCGGCGGCGGCGGCGGCCCGGGGCGGGAGCGGGUAGGGAGUUGGAGCCUCGGAAGGCUGCGCUAGGGAGCUGCGGGAGCGCUGGGCCACCCCGCUGCCGGAUGUAGUGACCGUGGUAAAUGUCUUGAGAAUGUGGAUUGCGUUGCCUUUAUGAUGCCGUGUUAUUGGAACUCUAGCCAAAAAUGGAACUAGUGUUGCAAUAAUGAGUUUUAAAAGCUACCCUAUGGAAAACUAGUACACAACCCUACAGAUUGGAAAAAGACCCUUUUUGUGUUGUGCCCUUUCUCGACGUUUGUCUUGGUGCUAGGGGUCCUGACAGCUGAGCGGAAGGAAUGACCCUAAACUGGGUGCGCAAAGUCCAGAGCUGUUACUCGGUCCCUGACCUCUUCAGUGAACUAGCCAUCCCCCCACCUCAAGGAAACUGAUUGAAUUUUACGGAUCUUUUUUUUUUUUUCAAUCAGUUUAUAGCUUCCAGGAGGAAAAUCUUGUGCUUUACUUUUUUUUUUUUUUUUUAAGUAAAGUGUCAGUAGAUGCAUUUUUUUACUGCCCGGAAAAAAAAAAAAAAAAUGGGGCAGGAGAGAAGGAACCAGGGAAAGGGCUGUUUAGAAAUACAGUUUGUGGGUCUGAGCGAUGCCGCCAGCUUCCUCUACAGAGACUGCCAGUUUCCCUUUUCUUUGCAAGGUGUGUGUGGUUUUAAUAAAUAACUUAAAAAGGGGGGGGGGCAAGAUCCAUCAGGAGACAGGUAUCUAUUUUGCUCACUAUUUACUACCAAGAGCCUUUGGCACUGGAACAGAACCUCGUAAAUCUGCAGCCCAAGUUGAAGUUCAUCUGGCCCUAGUCCACACGCUAUUCCUGGAGGUAGCAAACAUGAGCUCAAAGGAACAAGGUGAAAUCACAUUCUUGCUUUAAAAUAUAUGCUUUUUUUUUUUUUAAAGGAGAAAAGAUAUUUGUUCCUGGGGGAGGAGGAAAUGGAAAGGGAGUACCAGGAGAGGGGCAUUCCUUUCAUAAAAUGACUGUAAUUGAGUCUUCAGGCCAAAAUAGAAACCUGUAAAUGGGAAAUAUUCCCCUCCCCCCACUUAAAAAUAGAAAUUUCCAAUAUCCUAUUUGGAAGCCUGGGUUGGACUCUUCUGCCUUUCGCCUCCAGGGCCCCCUUUCAACACGGGAAUCAGAAGUUUACUCCCGACUUUUUUUUUGCUAGUCGACUAGUGUUUGGCAGGAAACUCUGAUAAUACUGUUGAGUGCCAUUCUGCUUUUUGAAGACAAGUGCACCCUUUCUCUUCCCAAUACAUUCAGCCUUUCAGGCUGGAAAAAUCAACGUAUGAAACAUGAACACAGCUGCAGAUACUGAGUUGUGGCUCCUAGAGGCGUGGACAUCGGGAAGAAAAUAUAUAUAUAUAUCCAGUAAAUUAAGUGUUUUCCAGUAUUGACCUAUGGAGGCCCCCCCCCAUCAAAAAAAAAAAAAAAUGAUGGGGGCAGUCGGGUGUGGAAGACGAUUUUGGACGGACUGAGUCCGCCACCUAGUGGUAGGUCCUGGCUGAGUUCCCCAUGCCUUGGGCAGGGGACCGACGGAGUCACCUUCCUGUCCCUAAGUAUCCUAACGAGGUGCUAGGACUGAGAGAGGGCAACCUCCAAUAAGAAUGACAUCUGACCUCCAGAGUUUUGGUAAAAUGGAUGACAAUUAGCCUCCGUCCACAGUCGCCCAGCGUGGGCAUCCCUCCGCUAAGAGAACCAAAAAGUACCCCGUUUUGAGAACACUGCUUCCCCGCUUCUGUGGCCUCUCCCCAAGGAAAGUCAAUAGUGGAGGGAUGUCACGGAGGCUGUAGGACAUACAGUUCUUUACAGGUGAGGAGUCAAGCCUAAUGAGAGGGUUAAUGGCCAGUUAGUGACCUAACCGGAACUGGAUUUUAAGCUUCUGAAUUCCAGGUCAGUGACUUAAAGUCAAAGGCGAGUUUAAUCUCCGUCCCUUUGAGGAAUCUAAGAGAAAGGAGCAGGUGGAAACGGUUCCCUCUCUGUCUCCGAGGAAUUUGUUUAGAAAGUAUGGCCCAAGAUUUUCAGUAACAGAUGUGAAAAGCCUACUGUAGUGCUGAGGGGUGUGUGUGUGUUGGGGGAGGGGUCUCAGAACUUGGGAGGGAGUGUGCGUGUGUUAGGGUGUGAUUAAGGCCCAGUCCCUAGACUUGCAGAAAUGCACCUUGCUGCGCCGGAGGCUCACAUUUGAAUCCUAAAAUAGCUCUUUUCCUUUUCUAAACUUUGCUUAGUGGCUUGAUGUGAAAUCACGCGCGUGUGUGUGUGUGUGUGUGUGUGUGUGUGUCCGUCCUAUGGACAGGCAGAGUGUAAUCCACAACAGCUUCUCAGCAAAGUUUUCUUUCUUGGAGCUCAAAACUUAAGAUGGCAAACGCGCGCCGAGUGCUGGCGUCCCCUAGCGACCGCCGGCGCGCACACCCGUGGGUGAAGCGGUUGUUUCCAUCGCUCUGGUCGGCCAGAAUCGAGUUCUGCCUCUCCCACUGCGGGAGCUGUUGGAGGCCGCGUGGGAGAAACGCGCCUCUGUUCAGGUUGGAAGCGAAUCUGGGGACGUGUUUGAAGAGCGGUCAAGUUUGACUCAUCGCUUUCCAAGGACAGUUAGUGCCUUCCAUCUUCAUUAACGUGAAUAAAGACCUUGGCUGACUUCUGUCCAGAUCGGAUUUUUAAAGGCAUUGUUUGCUUGGGGAGAUCAUUGCCUCUCCCCUCCCCCGCCAGCCUUUUUGCAAAGGCCGGGCCCCGUCCAGCCAGAAUAGCCAAAAUAUCUCUACUCGUGGUCUGCUGGCAUUGACUGCCGGCCCUUUCUGGAAGGCUGUCGCGAGCUGGGCGCCUGGGGAGCGUCCCUUCUGCAGCUCCUCUUCAGAUCUUGAUGAUAAAACACAUCCCUCUAUUUUAAUGCAUUUCCUAGAAGCUUGCAGGCUUGCAAGAGCACUGUUGGCAAGAAAUGUGAUAGAAAUGAAAGGACAUAAAGUCCCUGAACACCUCCUCGGUCACUCAAAGCGACUGCCGAGGCCACCGUGUUAUCAAAUUCGCUUUUAUCUACUGUCGUCUCCCCCACCCUUCUGCACCCGCCCCCCCAGGCAAGAACGCGAAGAGUGUUUCUCCCCUAGGACAAUAACGGCUCGGCAGUUUGACCCUGCCNNNNNNNNNNNNNNNNNNNNNNNNNNNNNNNNNNNNNAGCAGCUGAUUAGCCUAAAAGACACUGCAGAGAAAGGGAGCGCUCCUGCUGGAGCCCUGACGCGAGUUUCACUGCGGCAGCUUAUUAAAAUUCCUCGUCCCUGCCCCUAAACAGUGCUUUGCACUUCCAUAUUCUCCUUUGGAUUUCUCAACGAGUUAUUGGAGUUAUUAGAUUACCAAGUAUCCAAAGCCGAACGGGAUAGAGAAGGGGGAAGGGUGGAAGGCAUUCUCCAAAUCGGGAGACUGUGUCUAAACUAGGUCAAUGGAAGGAGGGGCGGGGCGACAAGGAGUUGUCCGUUUCAAGCCUUGGUGGAGGGCUCCCUCUAGUGUUAGGCAGCGAUAGAACAUCAUUAGGUUUGAGCUCCAGGAACCACGGGACUCCUAAUUUCCAAUAAGUGCAUUUACUUAAUUUUAGCUUCCCUUCCUAGACUCACACCCCAUCGCGUAUUACAUUUCAGCCUUCGCUUUCACUUUUAUCUCACCGGGCAAGGAGAUGAGAAAGUAAGAUUUUAUGAGGCCAAAGAGGCCUAGUUUUUACUGACCCCGCCUCCGCUGCUGCUGUGGUGCGCAGCGUAGUGCGACGCUACCCGCCAGUUUUAGGACUGGACUGCGGCCUUAGAGGCUACCUCUUUUCGUGCCCCCCAUUCCCUACCCCUGGCCCCUGAAAGUGUUUCUCAGAGCCUGCUGCUGCGACCGAUUAAGAUAUUGCCCCCAGGGGUUAUAAUUUCGAGGAAGGCAACCUUGGUGCGCGCCCAUGAACGCGCUGGGGUUUGCGUUCAGGCCCCUGCCGAAUCCCGACCUUUUCUCUUUUUUUCCAAAGAAAUUGGAUUCGGAAAUCCCGAAAUCUGCCCAGCUUCGCCGUAGUAGCUCCUGUUCUAAAGACCUUGGGCGGAAACCUAAUAGAGUUGGGUUCCCUUUCUUGCCAACGUAGGCGGAAGGGGCUUUCGGUUUAGUUUUCUCCACCUCGGGUGCGGCGCCCUGGAUGGCGACCCUCAGCCCCAGGGACUCCAUCUUUUUGACCUCGAGGCCUUGCCAAACCGCUCCCUUUAAAAUAGGGGGUGGAGGGGCCAGGACAGAGAAAAAAAGACGCACCAGGCAAACACACACUGGGAUUGGGUAACUUGUUUGAAAUAAGCCUGGGAUUGGACCCGAAACCAAUCUAGACCGGCUGUGCAACUAAAUUGUCUGACUUUCCCCAUUUAUAAAAUUGUAGGGGUUGGGUUGGACUAGGUGAACUCUAAGCGUCCUGAGCCCGGCGCGGGCGAGAGAUUUAGGGGAAAGUGUGCCAUAUUCCCCGCGAGCCUACCCGGGCCACCCCCCCCCCCCCCGCCCCCGGUGAAUCCCCGGCGGCCCGUGCGGCGCAGGCAGAGAUCCUGGCGACUGCCUGGGCAGGCAGCUUCCUGGAAAGUUACUUCUCGUUGGAGCCGGCGAUAGGCAGAGAGUGUUCUGUGAAAUCCGCUGAGUUGAGAUCGACUACGUUCCGGGAAUGAGAGGGCUGUGCCAUUCCCCUCACUGCCCCCUGCCUUGACAGCGUAACAGGAAAAAAAAAAAAAAAAAAA
rnacentral:lncRNA from 1 species